UGUGCUUCGAUUUGUGGGGUUGGUGCCCCUGUAAUGAUUGGGCUUGGUGCCCCUGUAAUGAUUGGGGUUAGUGCCCCUGUAAUGAUUGGGGUUAGUGCCCCUGUAAUGAUUGGGGUUGGUGUUCCUCUGCUUCGCUUUGUGGGGUUGGUCCCCCUGUAAUGAUUGGGGUUGGUGCCCCUGUAAUGUUUGGGAUUGGUGCCCCUGUGCUUGGCUUUGUGGGGGUUGGUGCCCCUGUAAUGAUUGGGGUUGGUGCCCCUGUAUUAAUUGGGGUUGGUGCCCCUGUAAUGAUUGGGGUUGAUGCCCCUG